rnacentral:rRNA from 1 species
AUUGAACGCUGGCGGCAUGCUUUACACAUGCAAGUCGAACGGUAACAGGCCUUCGGGCGCUGACGAGUGGCGAACGGGUGAGUAAUGCAUCGGAACGUGCCCAGUCGUGGGGAUAACGCAGCGAAAGCUGUGCUAAUACCGCAUACGAUCUGCGGAUGAAAGCAGGGGAUCGCAAGACCUUGCGCUAUACGAGCGGCCGAUGUCAGAUUAGGUAGUUGGUGGGAUAGAAGCUUACCAAGCCGACGAUCUGUAGCUGGUCUGAGAGGACGACCAGCCACACUGGGACUGAGACACGGCCCAGACUCCUACGGGAGGCAGCAGUGGGGAAUUUUGGACAAUGGGCGAAAGCCUGAUCCAGCCAUGCCGCGUGCAGGAUGAAGGCCUUCGGGUUGUAAACUGCUUUUGUACGGAACGAAAAGACUCUGGUUAAUACCUGGGGUCCAUGACGGUACCGUAAGAAUAAGCACCGGCUAACUACGUG